UACACCUCAUCCUAUCGAAAAGCUUCCAUUUUCUUCUUUCUUCUUCGUAUCCGUAGCUCCAUCUCACUCACAAAGCCCUAGCUCCGUCUCACUCUAACCUCUCUAUCACUCUGUUGAAAUCAAACGCCGGACCCUCCCCUCUCUCUCGUAUUCCUGUCUCCCUCUCACUCUAGCUCUCUCUGAUUCUAAGUUUCUGUCUUCUAAUCCCUCUGUCUCUCGCCCUUUCGCACAGCUACCAUAGCCAAUAAAAGAAAAGCCCCAUUUCAUUUCAUAUUCCCCUAUACACUCUCAAAUCUAGCUCCCUCUUAUUCAAUAAAAAUUAAACCCAGACCCCAUUAUUCUUCCCCUCUCUCUCAUAUUCAUGUCUCCCUCUCACUCUAGCUCUCUCUAUCUCUCUCAUUCGAAGUUGAGGGUCCACGACUAAUUUGAUAAUUGUUAGAUGAAUAGGGUUUUGUUGGGUUGUCGGAUUUGAUUAAGGUUUCGGUGGAGGUGGUUGGUAAUGGCGGGUUAGGGUCAGCCUAUAAGGUUGCCGUGGUCAUUUGGGCUGUCUGUGGCGUUCGACGUCGAGAUAAGGCGGUUCGGUGGAGAGUGGAGAAACUGUUAGUCUUCGAGUACGACAGCUUUUAUGCACGGGGAUCCCCUAUACAGAGUUCUCAAACUACGAUGGGGAAAUCUGAAGCCCAGCAAUGUCCUCUUGACACAGAAUUUACAAGCAUGGCGAAAGUGGGAAAGGUUGUGAUGGCAGCAGUACAGCUCCUCCAUGCACUGGAAGUCUUCGGAUUUUGAUUCUUCAAAAAAAAUUGUGGUGGAGUAGGAAAGGAGAGAGGUUUUAUUUAUGAAAUAGAAUGGCUGAUCCCUGAAGUGGAGUUCGACGAUCAAAGAGGGUUAAUAAUGUGCAAGACAAUCCUGCUGUUUUAGUUCCACCUGCUUGCCCAGGUACCAGAAUAGCCAGCAGAGGAAGAGGGAGAGGCUUUAGAGCUAUGAAUCAAGGUAAAAAUGUUAAGCUGACUAGUGCUGGAAUCGACGCUCAUGGAAAUACUGGUUUAGACUUGCCAGUAGGAAAUUUAAUUUCUGUUUGUGAGCUAGGAGUUCAGAAAAGUGCAGAAAAACUAGUUGUUGCUGACGAUGAAGGAAGCACAAGUCCGCUUCCUGAGAGGGUGCAGAUUGGCAAUUCUCCACUGUACAAGUUAGAUAGAAAGCUGGGGAAGGGGGGUUUUGGACAAGUAUUCGUGGGAAGAAGAGUGGCUGGUGGUAUCGCUGGAACUGGGCCUGAUGCCUUUGAGGUUUUACCCCCUCCCGCAUGUUUCACUCUUGUGCAGUUAUUAAGGAAGUUUGUUAUGUUGCUAAUGGCAAUCCCAUUAACCUUUUGUGGGUUGCUUUGAAGUUAGAGCAUAAAAAUAGUAAAGGCUUCAGUCACGGUCCUCCAUAUGAGUGGCAAGUGUACAGGAGGUUGUUGAGGAAAAGAGCCAUAAGCCUGCUGUGACAUCAAUUGAAGUUGGAGAUUGUCGGCAUUCAAUGCAUUGAUGAGAUCUCCAACUGAUGGAUCUGAAUAUUGUGGAGCAAACUCAUUAUAUUCUGAUUGAGAGUAGUAAUUUGACUUAACAUAUUGAUUUCCAUAAUAGAAAUUAUUAGAAUAUUCCUCCCAUUGUGAAUUGUAAUUGUUAGAAUAGGGGUCAUAUCUAUUCAUUUGGGGAUCAUAACAAUGUUGAUAGCAUGUUUCUAUGUCGUAAACCAAGAUCUAUGCAAGCUCUGAAAACAUCAACCACAACUAAUAAAUCAUGUUAGUAAAAAGAGAAAAAAUAGAAUAACAAAUUAAAAAAAAAUAGUCCCCAGCAACGACACCAGAAAUUUGAUGCGUGUCGUAUACCGUAUGAAAUUUAAUUACUAUUUUAAUAACUUAUAACAACUACUUCAAUAUAGCAGUAAAUAAGGGUCGAACCCACGAGGACUAUGUUUCUAAUUAUUAUUCAGAAUUAGAAAUAAACAUAAUUUAAAUAAGUAGUUUUUAAAGUUACUUUCUACCUUCGACAAUCAAUCUAUCAGCUAAGAUAAACAAUAGUCCUUUAUUCCCAAUUAAUCUAUUAACCCCGCAGAGAACACUUAAGCAGUCAAUUAUCCCAGUUUCCCUAUUAUAAUUAAUUAAAGCUCAACACUCUUAAUUAACCCUUUUUACCAAGCAAUAAACCCAUUCAGCAUGCGAUCUAUUUAACCUAGGAAAAGCAUUACACUCUAUGGAAACAAGUUAAUCUAGGCAACAAAUUCAUUAAGCAUGCAAUUCAUUUAUCCUAGGUUCUAUAUUUCAUCACAAUCAAAAUACCCGUCAUAAUACCUUAAUUGCAAUUUAUCACUCUACAUUGAAUUCGAAACUAUUAAGUGAAUAACAAUCCUAAGAUGAUAAUAGAAUAAUGCAAAGCCCUAAUUAGCUGCCGUCUAAACAAGAUUUUACAAGAUCCGUGACAUUAAAAUAGAAAAAUAGAAGCAAUUUAAUAUAUGUGAAUAGAAGAAAUAAAAUUUAUCAAUGCAUUCAAGAUUUUUUAAAAUAACCCUUAACUACAAAUAAAACUACUCCAAAUUUACCAUUGCUUGUAAAACAUCCCAAAUUCAUUCUUUUUCAUCCAAAUGUCUUGAAAAUUCUAAAAACACAAAAUAAACUAAUUAAACAUAUAUAAAUAAAUAAUCUAGUGCAUAAUCAUAGAAGAAUAAUGAAUUAAAAAUAGACAAAUUCGAUACGUAUCAACUAUAAAAGGUUUUAGGGCUAAACUUUAGAUUUAAGUAUUAAUUACGAUUCUUGGAGAUCAGAACUACAUAAGAGAAGAGAAGACAUAAUUAUUGUCUACAACCAUUCCAGUUUUUCUUCAUUUCUCUAAAACUCAUUUAUUUUCAAUUUAUGAUUAUGUGUAUGAUGAUGUUUGUGACUAUGGAGUAGUUCUCUUUUAGGUUAAAGUUUAUUUCAAAACCCAAGACAUGAAAUCUUGAAUGCAAUUGUGAACUUUAUUUCUUCAAUUUCCUUAUAUCAAAUUGUUUCUAUUCUUUUAAUUGAAUGAUAUGAAUUGUGUGAUAUCUUGUCAGGUGGCCAACUAAUUAGGGUGUUGUGGUCUUCUAUUACCAUCUUAGGAUUGCUAUUCAAGCAAUAGUCUAGGGUUCUAAGUGGAGUGAUAAAAUUGUAAUUAAGUAUUGUGAUGGAGAAUUGAACCUAGGGUAAAUGGAUUGCAUGCUUAAUGAAUUUGUUCCGUAGAUUAACUUAUUUCCGCUAAAUUUAAUGCUUUUUCCGAGUUAAAUAGAUUGCAUAGUUACUGGAUUUAUUGCUUGGUAAAAGAAUUAAUUAAUGAGUGCUUAGCUUAAAUUAAUUAUGAUAAGGAAACUAGGAUAAUUGACUGCUUAAGUGUUAUAUGCAGGCUUAAUAGUUUAAUUAGGAAUAGUGUAGUGAUCCAAAUUUCUUUUCUUAUCUAUAUAUUUUAUUUAUUUAAUUUUUAUGUUGUAGUUUAAUUGUUUGAUUUGUAGAAAAUAUUUGAACAAUUGGUUUGUGUGAAUUAUGAUUUAUUGAUUUAUUGUGUAAUGUUUGUUUACUUAUUAGUGUUACAUUUUAUUAGGUGUGACAAAUUAUGUGAUUAGAAUAGGGUGUUGAAUUUGUAUGUGUGUGUGUGUGUGGAUAUUGGUUUUAUUUUAUUAUUUUAAAAUUAAGAAAUUCAAAAGGGAAAGGAAUGUUAAUUGUCAUCUUUUGGGAUAAGAUGACAAGUGUAGCGCCCUGGAUAACCAAGACCAUUACACUGUGUGUUUAAAAUAGUGCAAGACUUGCUAGUCAAGUCAUUUAAAUAAAAAUGUGAAUCUAAAGUCAUAAACAUGUUAGGUUUAAAAUAUUUUGGUCAUAAAAAAAUAACUUUCAUUAAAAAUAAAUGUUUAAUACAUGGGAUCCCAAAAAUGGUUUGGAGGACAUAUUUACAAAAUUACCAAAUGUUAUAAAUAAUUAAAGCCACUCUAAUCCGUCCCUAUACAAUCCCUCGACCGUGGCGGCGAAGCAGCUGACAAUGUACACCUCGCCCCCAGAACUCUCCAACCCAUGGUUGAACCAUCUUACCCUUGCCCUUACCUGCACCACGUAGCACCCGUGAGUUGAGGCCCAGCCAGAAAACCAUAACACCAUAGCAUGAUCAAUAUCAAUAACCAAAUAAUCCAUAAAGCAUAACCAGAUAUUUAUCAAUCCAUAGCAUUCACAUAAUCAGUGAUAACAAUUGACGAAUCCACAAUCUAUUAUCCAGGUAUCCAGCAUAUCAUAUUCAUCAAAUUAAUAACAAUAGACAUAUCAUACAAUAACUAGGGUUGACGUCCGUAGACCGCAACCUCUGUUUAACCCACUGUCUUCGGCUCACUUAGGUUGAGCCCAGUGUUCAACCCACUGACUCUAGCUCGCUUAGGCCAAGAUCAGUGAUCAUUUAAUUAACCUCAGCUACAAGUGGUCGAGCCGUGUCCUUGUGCGCCCAUAUUAAUUCUGGCACACUCAGGUCCUUUAUCUCAUGCGUACAUGGCAUAAUACAAUCAUACAACAUCACAUACAAGUACAGGGAGCUCUUAGUCCCAACAUAGCCACAUAUUUGGGUGUAGUUUUCUUACCUUUGAUUCCGAGUGGAGAAGGUGAAUUGGUUCCGAGCACGAUCCCUAGCCUUGAGCCUUGGCAACAAACCUAGUCACAAGAGUCAUUAAUAUCUAUCAACUUCCAAUCAAAAAUAAAAUACAUAGGGAACAAAACUAGCCUACGGGGCCUCAAAUUCUACUAAAUUGGGUAGUAGAAAUUGUCUUGAGCCUCUAGGUUCGAAUCCCCGAGCCCUAACAAUACUUAGAACUCCUUCAAAUUUAAACCCCCAGGCAGGUUGCGACUUGGAUCAGCAGGUCGGGACUUGCCCCAAGUUAGAGAGCAAGCUCUCACACCAAAAGGGAGGCAGGUCGCGACUUGGCCAGGCAAGUUGCGGUGCGCCCCCAAGUCAGAGGCCCAACCCAGGCCAAAAAGGCCACAUGCACUGUGGCGUGCCCUGCGAACCCAGAGAAAACCUGGGUUUUCUCCUCCUUCUUCCUGCCAAGAACAUUUACUCCUACCCAGAAUUUCUUCCUUAAUUCAUCACUAAACCAACCACAAAUUUGGACCUAUAAUUACAUAUUUUCAUCCUAUAAUUCCCAGCAAUAUAAACAAACAUCAACAUCUUAAUUCAGCCACAAGAAUCACAACAUAACCAUUGAGAUUUUCUACUCAAACCAUCAGCCAAAUUCAUCACUAAACCUAUACUCAAGAACCUAAAAUUCAACUUAAACCAUUCAGCAAAACUCAGAAGUUUAGGACAAUAGUCUUACCUCAAGUGGAGACCCAAUUCUCAGCUGAAUCUUCACACCAACACAGCUCCAAAAAUUCAGACUUUUCUUUGAUUUUAAGCCACCAUUGAAGUUUGAUUCCCCCUUAAAUUUCCUCAAAGAUCACAGCCUCAACACCUAGCCUAAGAUCUUCUUGAGUCUUUGCUUGAAGCUCAAAUGGAAGCAAGAGAAAGAGAGGGAUAUGUGGGGGACAGAGAAAAGUGAGCUGGGAUUUAUGUUUCCUUCUUUCUUUCCUUAGACUAUUCUUCAAUCUUCUCAGCUUUGUCCUAAAAAAAGGCUGAGCAAAUCAUUAACUAACAAAAAGACCAUUUUACCCUUCCCAACAAAACUAACCUUUAGCUUAAUCUAGGGGUAUAAUAGUCAUUUGUUCCCAAUUCCCACUAAUUUCUCAAGUGUUCCUAAUAUUUACCACUUAAAUCCUAUCAUCCAACUAAUCACCAGUUAUUUACCCAUAGUCCAAUAAUUCCCAACAUAUUCUCUAAAUUCCCAGAAAUACACCCAGGCUCCCCCGAGCCGGGUAUUAAUCCCCACCGUGACUUUUUUUCCAAUCCGCUUGCCAGGACCGUCUCAAGCCAUAUGCUGCAAAUAUAUCCACAUAAUAAUGUGGUCUCAACAAUUUAUCACACAUAAUUAUAUUUAUUCCCUCAAUGGGCCAAAAUUACAAAUAUGCCCUUAAAAACUACAUAGGGCCCACAUGCAUAUUUGAUUCUCAUAGGCAUGUAUUUCACAUUAACAUGCAUUUAUUAAUUUAAUCACAUAAAUACCAAUUAUGCCCUCCCAACGCACUAAUCAAGGCCCUUAUGCCUUAUUAGUAAUUUUGGGUUGUUACAACAAGGUUUAUCUAUUGGAUUAUGUUUACAUCUGGAUAGGGUUUAAGUGAGGUGUAAAGAGAGGAAAUGGUGGAAUUAGGCUUAUUUGGUGGGAUAGGAUUGAAGCUUUCACACUUGGUUUCAUUCCUUAGGUUUAGGACACUAGGGUAUUAUAAAAAGAAUAACAUAGGAGCUUUAGAAAACCCUUUGGUAGCUGCCAAAUUGUUGAGAGAAAGAAAGAGAGAAAGAAGGAGAAGAAAAAGGGGUUUAAAAAAUCUCUAGGUAUGUGUUCUUAUAUUGAUUUUUGUUUUAACUUUGAUCCUCUAGGAUUAUUUUUCUCCUUCUCAAUUCUAAGAAGUUUUUCAUCUUUUCUUUUGGCGGUGUAUUUUGAAAUCCCUAGGUGCCUAAAGAUUGAUUUGCUUUGUGUUAUUGAACACUACCAAUGAGGCUUGUUGUGAAGUAUUCUCGCUGUUAUUUUGCUUGGACUUGAGUGAUGCAGCAUUAAAAGUAGACGUGCCUAAGAUUCUGGCCAAAAGGGUGUCAGGAAAAUUCAUGGCCAAAAGGGUGCCAGGUGAAUUAUGGCCAAAAGUGUGCCAUGGACGUGACCAAAAGGGAGUCACAUGUGAUCAUUGGACAAUCGGGGUAGGAAAUAGAUAGACUUGUUUGGCACGCAUGGUGAGCUAAGUCAGUUUUCCAUAAGUAUGUAUGUAUGUUGCGGGGAGCCAAUCAACGAGGAAACAAUCUAGAUCUCUGUAGUGCCUUAGAGUCUUUAUUAUGUUAAUUUAUUAGUGGGAUGUAUUUUUAGUUAUUUUUAUGAAUGCAUCAAACUCUCUUUUGUUUUGAUCAUUGGAUCGAAACUUUGCAUGUAUUUCCAAUAAAGUCCCAUUGUGUUUUUAGACAAAGUUAUGAAAUCUUUUGAACUAUUAUUAAAACUAGUAUUUUAAUAAAGAUAGGCAAUUAUGGGGGUUAUAAA